AACGAACGCUGGCGGCAUGCCUAACACAUGCAAGUCGAACGAGACCUUCGGGUCUAGUGGCGCACGGGUGCGUAACGCGUGGGAACCUGCCCUUAGGUUCGGAAUAACUCCCCGAAAGGGGUGCUAAUACCGGAUAAUGUCUUCGGACCAAAGAUUUAUCGCCUUUGGAUGGGCCCGCGUUGGAUUAGCUAGUUGGUAGGGUAAAAGCCUACCAAGGCGCCGAUCCAUAGCUGGUCUGAGAGGAUGAUCAGCCACACUGGGACUGGGACACGGCCCAGACUCCUACGGGAGGCAGCAGUGGGGAAUAGUGGACAACGGGCGAAAGCCUGAUCCAGCAAGGCCGCGUGAGUGAUGAAGGCCUUAGGGUUGUAAAGCUCUUUUAACCGGGAUGAUAAUGACAGUACCGGGAGAAUAAGCUCCGGCUAACUCCGUG
rnacentral:rRNA from 1 species